CUCAGGCCGCCUUGGCGGCCAGGACAGGGCUGAAGCCGAAGCGCCGAGCUCCCCGGGGGCUGUUCUGAGCGGGUGAAGGGCUCGGCCGCGGCCCUCCCCGCAGGCGGUGGCUCCUCCUGUGGCGAGGAGGCCUCCGCGGACCCGAAUCGACACUAACCCGUCCCGGCUGAUCCCUCACCCCGGUGACUGACAUUUGCAAAACAGAAGGACGAUUGCUGUGGAGGCGAAGUCACUGGCUGAGCCCUCCAAUCAGGCGGCGGGGGCGAGUGGAAGGGUGUCGCCUGUCCAAUCUCUGGGCCUGUGUGGGUGUUGCUAGGAGAUAGGGUGAUGUGAUGACUGUGUUAAGGGGACGGCUCUGUUUAGGAAAUAGAGCCGCUUGUGAUGCAAGAAGCGCCUGUGAAUUGCGGCUUAUUUCAGGCCAUUCACCUCGGCAGAGUGUGAGCGCUGGAGGUUAUUACAGGUCAACCCUGAAAACACAGACACGUGGGCAGUGACAUAUGCUCCAGGGUUGGCGUGGUCCCCCUCGCCCCAGUAUACAGCCAGAAAAGGCUCUGAUCAGCACCCCUAAUGGGGAGAAGAGCAGAGAGAGAGAGAACUAAAGCCUCCACACAACAGAGCCCAGAACGGCCUGUUCCUCCUUUUCCUCACUGCAGGGACCAGGCUGGUGUGACUAGCUACUUCCACUCUCACUGAGCCCUGUGUCAUAGCCAGAAGCUUAUUAAUUCUUGCUCCCUUUUGAUAGUCUGUUAGCAUUGAGAGACAGUGAGCUCCUGUUGCCUUGCGCAACCUGGGUCCCAUGACCACCUGGCAGGUGCCUGCUGAAAGAUUGGUCUCAUUCCCUUCCAGUUGCCUCACCCUCCUGCCACCUCUCCCAAAACCAACAUAAGCUGUAACUCCCCCAGUCACCUGCUUCCUUCCUACCUGCUCCUAACUCUUGAUGCAAACUAGGAGCACAGCAGAAGGACUGAGGGAGCCAAGGUGUUUGUUUCUAGGUUUAGGGCCUUAGGGCUCCUACAAUAACUCCUUCCCUAGCUUCAAACUCUAAAAAUGAAGGUUACUUGUAACCAGAGUUUUUUUAGAUGGACUCUGCAUAUUCAUGAUCAUGGGAUGCACUGCCAGUGCAGUUCAGAGGGUGUACUGUCUGUUAGCAGCGCCCCUUAAGAGUGGUCACAGCCCCUCCUAUCCCUCUCAGACUUCCUGAGCAUCCUGAACCUGAGUAACAGAUUACCAAUCUCAAGACAUCAAAAAUCACAGCAGAGUCCCCAAAUCCACGAUUUAAAAAAUAUUGGUGUUGGUCUUUUUGAUUUUUGAACUCCCCCUUCCCAACAUCUGUGUGUGUGAGUGUGAUUUUGGACCAUGCUGCAUGAGCUCACAUCCCUUUUCACCAAUUAAUUCUGCCCCCAGCCUCCAACUCAAUCCUGUUCACCCAGUCUCUAUAUUAGUUCUUCUGCCUGGCCCCUGCCCUCACAUUGGCCCCAUGAGGGGAUAGGGAAGAGGGAGUAAAGCCAUCCUGAGCUGAUGGGUUCUUUCUGCUCCCUCUUCCCCCUCCCCUCCUGUGAGAAGAAUGGCUUUAGAUUGUUGAGGGGAUGUGGAAGGGGAGCCAGCUCUUUCUGCAGCAGCUCUGAGUGGUUGCUUUGGCCCUGGGGAGAGGCAAGUGAGGCAGGCAGCCAAUCAGAGGAGGUUUUCCCCUCAGGCAGGGCUCAAAUUUGCUGGAGGGCUGGAGCUUGUCAUGAUGAUACAGAGUUCGAACCUGGCCAAAAUCUCAUCAUUUAUUUAUUUAAAAAAAA